GCAGGAAAAGGCUUCACAACAUAAGCUUUUAGAGAAGGUAGUUGCAUGGUGGUAUUGCAGAUUUGCUGGAAUUGUUGAAGGAAAGAUAAUUGGAAACCCACUUAAAUCUUCUAGCAAAGUUUUGGGUUUUGAUGAUGGAAGAAAUCGUUAUUACUUGAACAUCUCUUGGAGCUUGGUGUAACUUAAACGGUUGCUAUAUUUAUCAAAGGUAUGCAACUAUGUGGGUAGACCUGAGGACUCCUUUUAGAAUAGUCAGCACCAUUUGCUUUUUUGGUUGUGUCAAUUGAGAUUUUUGUAUCCUUUAGAGUGGUACACAAAAUUUAGCACUCCUGCUACUUUAAUGAGCCUUGCCUUUCACUUCUAGAUUAUAUUCACAUAUGAAAGUUGUAUGGUGAAAUUUCAAACUCAAAAUUGUGUUAACCUUUUUAAAAUUU